GUAACUUUCCAAGUGGUUUUAGUCUCCAAUGGUGACCACUCUUUCAUCCUGAUCAACUAUGGUGAUAUUGCAGAAACAGCACAAUCUUGGCUGGUUGGUUAUGACACAGUGGACUCGGUCAAUUCUUUCACAAUUCCAGCAGCCAAUGUCCCAGAACUCUCAUCCAGCAGUAAUAUCAAUGUGAAUGGUCGCUGGUCUUUCCGUGUUGAUCGUUCACUAAACUUGCCGGCUAAUUUCCUGCCAUAUGGGGAUGGAGACUUAGUAAAUCCUGUUUCAGAUGAUGGAAGCUCUGAUGCCAUUUACUUGCAGCAGCCUUUCAAAUACUUUGGACGCACAUAC